GAUGAACGCUGGCGGCGUGCCUAAUACAUGCAAGUCGAGCGAACAGAUGAGGAGCUUGCUCCUCUGACGUUAGCGGCGGACGGGUGAGUAACACGUGGAUAACCUACCUAUAAGACUGGGAUAACUUCGGGAAACCGGAGCUAAUACCGGAUAAUAUAUUGAACCGCAUGGUUCAAUAGUGAAAGACGGUUUUGCUGUCACUUAUAGAUGGAUCCGCGCCGCAUUAGCUAGUUGGUAAGGUAACGGCUUACCAAGGCGACGAUGCGUAGCCGACCUGAGAGGGUGAUCGGCCACACUGGAGCUGAGACGCGGUCCAGACUCCGACGGGAGGCAGCAGUAGGGAAUCUUCCGCAAUGGGCGAAAGCCUGACGGAGCAACGCCGCGUGAGUGAAGAAGGUCUUCGGAUCGUAAAACUCUGUUAUUAGGGAAGAACAAAUGUGUAAGUAACUAUGCACGUCUUGACGGUACCUAAUCAGAAAGCCACGGCUAACUACGU
rnacentral:rRNA from 1 species